UUUUUUUUUUUUUUUUUUUUUUGAGAGAGAGAGACAGAUAGCUCGCUACCCGCUUUGUUUAUUUUAUUUAGAAAUAAAUUUGACUAGAAAUGUGAAUCAACUAUGAUUCGAACUUGGGUCUCGAAUACCAACCACCUAGCUCUUUGUCAGUUGCUCUAGAAACGGUCGGUAAUGAAUACCAUGUUAGUGACGAAAUAGUAGUGGCACUAGUUCCUCACGGAGCUAGAACUCAAAUAGUGUAAAACUGUAAAUUGAUCAAAAUGCUUUAUCAUACGAGAAGAAAACCCCUAAGGUAUCGUUUGGUUCGGGGAUAAGCAAAAAGUGGGUAUUCCAGGGAUAGGUAUAAAUUGAGGUAUAAGCGGGGAUUAGAUCAAUUUUGCGUUUGGAUGAAAAUUGGGUUAUUUCUGGGAAUAAGAAAAAUAACGUUUGGUUAGGUAAGAUGGAAUAAGAUUUAAAGUGGGUAGUUAUAAAUAAAAAUUAAUAAUAUUAUAACUUUUUUAUUUAUAUUAGAAUUAAAAUUUUUAUAUUUUAUAUUUAUAUUUUAAAAUUUAAAAUAUAAACUUUUAAAUUUUAAAAUUUUAAAAUCUCAAAUUUACAAUUUUAAAAAUUAAAAUUUUAAAUUUUAAACUUUAAAUUUAAUAUGAAAUUUUAAUUUAAAAAUAC
rnacentral:lncRNA from 1 species